CAGCCGCCACGGGAAUACGUAGGGUGCAAGCGUUAAUCGGAAUUACUGGGCGUAAAGCGUGCGCAGGCGGUUUGUUAAGACAGAUGUGAAAUCCCCGGGCUCAACCUGGGAACUGCAUUUGUGACUGGCAAGCUAGAGUGUGGCAGAGGGGGGUGGAAUUCCGCGUGUAGCAGUGAAAUGCGUAGAUAUGCGGAGGAACACCGAUGGCGAAGGCAGCCCCCUGGGCCAACACUGACGCUCAUGCACGAAAGCGUGGGGAGCAAACAGGAUUAGAUACCCGCGUAGUCCCUGUCUCUUAUAC
rnacentral:rRNA from 1 species